GGUGAUUCUUGGGUGACACACUCCGGAAUCGGGCUCCCAUCUCACUGGUUCUGGGUGCGUUACCCGAGAACCACA
rfam:Myotis lucifugus cont2.37550, whole genome shotgun sequence.